UUCUUCUCUGUCCAAGGAGGAGGGAAACGGGGGGGUUUUGCUGGGUGAGAGGAGGAGUUUGGCAGCUGCUGUGUGUGUCAACAAUGCAUAUUAAGUAGCCAUGUGCACCAGGUCUAAACAGUGAUGACAAUAGACACAGAGGCCCAGUCUUGGAGUUUUAAUGAAAGACAAUUAUUAUUGCAAUUUAAAUCCAAUGAACAAAUGUCAGCAAUCUUUACAAAUCGAAUAACACACAGUAAUUAAUGUAAUGUUACAGUAUAUAUAUAUAUAUUAUAUUGUGUGUGCAUUCAUACAGGCUCUAUCUAUUUCUUUUAACAGUCAUGUGUAUGUAUAACAUUGGCGCUAGUGCAUCUUGGCCCGACCUGUGGACAGAAAUGUCUAUACUAGCAAAAGGUUCAUCACUAUCCUGUCUGUCUGUCUUUGCUAUACAGUCCUUUAAUUGAACUAUGUAAAUAAAAUGUUAAUGUGCUAAUUAAAACAUGCAUUUUGCUUGGGAACGGA